rnacentral:rRNA from 1 species
UACGGAGGGUGCAAACGUUGCUCGGAAUCAUUGGGCGUAAAGCGCACGUAGGCGGCUUCUUAAGUCGGGUGUGAAAGCCCUCGGCUCAACCGAGGAAGUGCAUUCGAAACUGAGGGGCUUGAAUACUGGAGAGGAUGGCGGAAUUCCCGGUGUAGAGGUGAAAUUCGUAGAUAUCGGGAGGAACACCAGCGGCGAAGGCGGCCAUCUGGGCAGAUAUUGACGCUGAGGUGCGAAAGCGUGGGGAGCAAACAGG